rnacentral:rRNA from 1 species
AAUGAACGUUGGCGGCGUGGAUUAGGCAUGCAAGUCGUGCGGAAAGGCUCCUUCGGGAGUACUCGAGCGGCGAAAGGGAGAGUAACGCGUGGAUAUCUACCCCCUGGACUGGGACAGCGGCGGGAAACUGCCGGUAAUACCAGAUAAUGUCUGCGGACCAAAGGUGUGAUUCCGCCGGGGGAUGAGUCCGCGUCCUAUUAGCUAGUUGGUGGGGUAACGGCCUACCAAGGCAAAGAUGGGUACCGGGUGUGAGAGCAUGGCCCGGCUCACUGGGACUGAGACACUGCCCAGACACCUACGGGUGGCUGCAGUCGAGAAUCUUCGGCAAUGGGCGAAAGCCUGACCGAGCGACGCCGCGUGCGGGAUGAAGGCCUCCGGGUUGUAAACCGCUGUCAGAGGGGAGGAAAUGCAUGAGGGUUCUCUCAUGUUUGACCUAUCCUCAGAGGAAGUACGGGCUAAGUUCGUGCCAGCCGCCGCCGUAAUAC